UACGGAGGGGGCUAGCGUUGUUCGGAAUUACUGGGCGUAAAGCGCACGUAGGUGGUUUGCUAAGUCAGCUGUGAAAUCCCCGGGCUCAACCUGGGCACUGCAGUUGAAACUGGCAAGCUAGAGUAGGGUAGAGGGGUGUGGAAUUCCAGGUGUAGCGGUGAAAUGCGUAGAUAUCUGGAGGAACAUCAGUGGCGAAGGCGACACCCUGGACUCAUACUGACACUGAGGUGCGAAAGCGUGGGGAGCGAACAGG
rnacentral:rRNA from 1 species